ACAUGUGUCAGUGGACAAUGGACAAUUGGGAUGUUUUCAUCUUCUGGCGGUCACGCCAGUGCUGCCGUGGACACGGAUGGAUUCCUGGUUUUAGCACUCAGACAUAGAACUGAUGACUGGCAAGGCUCAAAGAAGAGGAGGGAGCCCUAGCCUCCUGCAGCUGUGCGGAACCCACCACACCACCAACAGAGCUGAGAACCAGGCAGAGGAAACCAGAAACCCUGGCGUUCUUGGCAAGCACAGCUUCCUUGGUUGAGCCUACUGGCUUCGAGUCCCUCUCUUUCAACUGCCACCUUCUGAAAGCCUGGCCCUCUCCAAUCUGCACCAGUUUGUGGGAGAGGAAGAAGUGGCCUAGUUCUCCAUCUGUCCUGUUCCUUUCAACGUGGUUGCUGAAUGUGGCGGUCCCCAGUAGAAUGACAAGUUCCCUGACCCGGAGGAGUGGAGUUCUGUUUCCAUGAGUGGGGGGUAUGCUUCGUGAACCACACUCAAGCAGGGUGCAGCCUGGUCCACCGCACUCAGUGCUGGUCACCUGGUCAUGGGGAGGCAUACAAUACUUUACUGCAGCCUGGGA
rnacentral:lncRNA from 1 species